UUUCGUUCCCCUUCUCGACUGCGUUUUGCCCUAGCCUCUUGCCGCGCCGCCGCCGCCUGCCAUCGAGCCUCUCGUCUGCGCCUGCACCUCCCCCUUACUGCCUCGGCUUCUCUGUGAAGGUUUCUAUGUCUGGCCAGAAGCCCCAGGAUCACGGCUCUUCGAGCUCGGCUUCCUCCACCAACAAUAAUCUGCGUGCACUUGCCCAGGAUGCCACAAGGGUGUUCAAAAUUCCACACAAGGUGAUACUUGAGAUGCUCCUUGCAAACCUUGGCCUAGGCCCACCCCAGUAUGAGUAUGCUGUCCAUGAGGAUAGUAAA